rnacentral:lncRNA from 1 species
CAUGAGACGACCAGUUUCCCUUCACCAGAUAAAGGUGAAGGACAACAAGGAAGGCAAGGUGGUGUCCAAAAAGAGCCUGCUGGAGUGCCAGUCUCUUGCCAAGGCCAAAAUCCCUCAAGUGCUGAGUAAGUUUUUCUCAAUCUGUGAUGUCACUGUUUUUACACACUUAUAGAGAUGUAUAGAAUGCAUUAUGGAGUGGGAUUAUGAAGCUGCCUUUUUUUAUUUUCAUGUUCACAGAAACAUUGGAAGAAACAAGGACACAGAGGAAUCAGUACAGGUUUUAUGGGUACCUGUGUGCCUACUUUACAUCCAUAUACGGCCACAGACCAGGCCUAUAUAAAAACAUGUUGGUGAAAGAGGUGGAGGAGGCAAAAUGUGACCAGUCUGGGGUGUACCUGAUCAAUGUGGGGGAACACAAAACAAAUCGGGAGUACGGCAUGGUCCAGAUGUCGCUGACAAAGGAGGAGUACAGCUGGUUUUCCGACUUCCUCAAAUUCAAGCACUGUCUCUUAGGGGGAAAGAAGGCCCAGCACUUCUUUUUCAAUUCAACAAACACUCAGAUGAAGAACCUGCCUGCCUACCUGAGGGAGGUGUGGAAGGAGAUGGGUCUGCCCGAAUGUCCUUCAUUCACUGACCUGAGGACCUCCAUUGUCACUCAUGUAGGUCAGAUUAGAUAGGAAUCUAAUUAAUGUAAGAUCCUAUUCUAUUGUUGUCUGAAGUAAUAUCAAUAAUAUCAUAUAUUUGUGUGUGUGUGUGUGUGUGUGUCUUACAGGUAAAAAACAUGCUCCCAAAGGUUGACAGGGAAAGGGUGGCCAACUUCAUGUGCCACAACAUCCAGACGGCAGACAAAUAUUAUGCCAUGAAUUUAAAUCCAACCCAAGCAAAUGAAACCAGGGCACUCUUUGAGGCUGCACUGAAGGGGGAAGAUAACACAGUCGCCGCAGAGAACCAGCCCUCCACCUCAGGAGAAAGAAAGCAGAAGGUGAGAGAGGAUGCCUCCCUCUCCGACGGGAGCACCACCCCUGAAGAGACCAAGGUGAUGUACCAGGAGUCUGGCACGUCCGCCGGUGACUCGGAAGAGGAGGAAGAGGAUGAAGAUGAGGAACAGAUGGCCAGACAACUUCCAGUAAGAUCAGCUAUUCUGACAGGACACAUUUGAUUAUCAAAAUGUACUUGUAAACUAUGUAACAGUCAAGUGUGAAUUCUGAGAUAUAUCUAAUUUCUUGUGUUUGCUCUGUCAGGAGACACCUUCCAAGGUGACCAAUCCUCAGGUGGAGAUGGAACUUACCCCAAAGAGGAAGCGGAGCAUCUGCACACGCCGCAUGGAGGUCGCCAUCAGCCCCAUGCUAGUCUCACCCCUCAAAGUGAGGCUCAAGUCGCCCCCCCACCAGUCCCUCAUUGUCACAUUAAAAGGGAUGCAACAACUAAACUCAAAUAAAGUCAGACUAAAAAAUGCCAUUGCCUCAAGGAGGUUAAAGCUGCAGGAGAAGGUGCAAAAGAGAGGAGGGGACCCCUGAUGCAGCUCGAAGGAAGGGGAGCCGACCAACAACAAGACUUCCUCUUCCAAAUAGUCAUGUAGAUUGUUUUAGACUCUCACAUUUAUACUGUUCUGAUUUUGUUUGGUUUGAUUUUCAAUUUUGGUGUGCUUGUUUACAUUUUAGAAGUGUAAAAUGUGUGUAAUUUAGUCUAACUGUCUGUUCAAUUUUCUAUUUUGGUGUGAUUCUUUAUAAUGUAAAGGUUUGUUCUGUUUUAUUAAAUAACUAGUUUAGUAAUUAUUUGUGUUGUGCUUUCUUUAAGGUUAUAUUCUAACUGUCUGUUCAAUUUUCUAUUUUGGUGUGAUUCUUUAUAAUGUAAAGGUUUGUUCUGUUUUAUUAAAUAACUAGUUGAGUAAUUCUUUGUGUUGUGCUUUCUUUAAGGUUUAUAUUUAGUUUGUCACUUAAUUUGUAAGUGUUAAACAUUCACUGUCUUGUGUUGUUGUCUGUGAAGGUAGGAACAAAUAUUUAGGCAUUAUUGGCAUGGGAAUCAUAUGUUUACAUUGGCAAAGCAAAUUAAGUAGAUAAUAAACAAAAGUGAAAUAAACAAUAAAGUCCUGCUGUAGACUGUACUACUGCUGUUCAGGAAGCACAAUUUGAACUAGAAACUUACACAGACAGGCUGAAAUAAACACUAAAAAAUAACAAAUGGCAUCACCGUAAUAUCCCGCUUGACCGUAGCUCGCUCGGUCUGAGCGCAGCGACCAUGAGAAAAGUAAGCCCAAAAUGAAGCCUGCCCCACAACGUAAUUUGCUUUUGGGUGACAGUGAGAGAACCGUUAGGUUUAGAAGGACAAUUCAACCACAGGAAUGUUCCUAACGUCCUUCCGAUCCAUGCAAGCCUUACCUUGACCGUGUGGCAUCAACCCUUAAAAAUAAAACAGGGUUUUUUGAUCUCACAGAUUACAAUGACAUCUCUCCCCAUAGGAAUACAUUGACAGCUCCCCUAAAUUCAACCUGGAGCCUAUGUGGGUUAAUAAUGCCUUAUGAACCUGUCUUCAAUGCCAAUCCAUCAGGCCACUAUGAGGUCUACCUGUGUCGAUUCUAAGCUUCCUGGAGCAACCGGAAGUGGUUAAAUUCACCCAAAAUGUAUUUUGAUGUACAUAACCUGCAAAUGUGAAAAUGACUGCAUUCAACCCUGGGUAGAUCAGUCAAUUCUUAACAUAAAGACUUUAGGAUUCUCAGGAUUCUGUAAGAGAAUACCCAAAGCAAGAUAUUUGUUUACCUAUAGCUUCCUGUGCCAACCGGAAGUGCCUUUAAUUGGUGUCUCAGGGGCUUCUCCUUAGGAGGGAUGGGGACACCACCACGGGACAGACCCCACACUCAUCGCUAGAGAUCGAACUUCAGACUCCCUUCAAAACCACUGAACCCCUCAACACACCGAAAGAGAUUACGGUGCACACCCUUAGAGGGAGCCGGAACAGGAUAACUCCCUCCACCAUCACAGAGACACAGAGGAGGAGGAACUAUCCAACACCCAGGGAGAGAGAACAAGUGACGUCAGUCGAACACAGUCAGAAAGAGGAGGUGGAAGAGGCGUUAGAUAGAGGAGGAUAUUACCCCAGAGGCCAUUCCUCCUGUUCAUGUGAGCAAGAAAGAGCAGAAGGCUUCUGAUCAGCCAAAUGGCAGGCAGAGGGAGAGGUCAUAGUGAUUCACACCCACAGAGAGAAAGACAACCCACACAACCUCUUGGUUGAGAUGAACCACACAGGUAGAGGCAGAGGGCCUUCAGGGCUAGCCAGUCAGCCUGCCUGCUCUGAUCCUCAAGUCAAUUGUAUAUAAAUUCAUGUUCAUUAAAGAUUUUUAUUCAAGAAUUGACAAGUCCCAUUUCGUUAAAGGGGUCACCCUUUUCCUGCUACAAACACAACUUGCAUAUCAUCACAGACUAGGCCAAAACGUUAAUCUUUUAACCUUGCCUGAAUAAAACAAUGCAUUUUUUAUAGUGAGCAAGAGUUGCUCCUUUUCCUUUUCUAUGAUGAUUCAAAUAUUUGGUUGCACCUCAACUGAACGUUGGUUGAGGGCCCCUUUUUUUUAAUUAAAAGCAUUAAAAUUGUGAUGUUUCUCACUUAUUUACAUAACCUACUCCACACUUGCAAAGUGAAAGUUUAUAGAAAUGUUCUGAAAUUAAGUAGUAAACAGAAGAAAAGCAGAAUUGAGUCCAAUUAUAAUGCAAAUAAUUGAAUGGUCUAUGGUUCAAUCCCAUUUCUGAAGGUCUGAUGAAUAAUUAAUAUUGUUUCUCCUCUUCCUUGUGGCAGGGGCAGCAGCACACUGCCCUCCAAAGCCUGCAAAAUAAUAGCCGGACUGCCCCUUUCCUAGCUCUGCAUGGAACUUCCAGUGCCACGUCCUUGGUGACGUGUGGGGUGACAUCCGGGAUGACCACAGCAACAUCCUCUGGAAAGGGAAAAAAGAGGAACAGAAUGUGAACAAAUGCAAACCGUAGCUUCUAAACACUGGCCAGUUGAAAGGUUCUACUAAGAUGUCAUGACAAACGGCACCUGUCAGAGUGCUCUCUAAGUCUCUCUCUCUUGGGUGCUCUGAAUGGCCUUCCUCUGGCUGAAGCCACAGGGCCAGGAGGAGCCUGGGCACCACCUCCACCACCACCUGAGAUGGGCUGAGCAGGUUGCUACGGGGCUCAUUGGACUGCUCGCCCAGAAUGCUCCUCACAGCUCUUUCCACGGUGCUGUGGACCUUAGGAUCGCUGAAUUCAACAAUAAGGAGAAAACAAAGCUAAACGAUGUGCAAUGUACUCACUUAGAACACUUUCUUAGUCUGUUUCUGCGUAGUUCCAGAUGUGUAGAUAAAUGGAUCAAGUCAUAUGCGGGGCAGUACAUGGAACUCACAUGUCAGCUGGCGAGGUGGGGUGCAUGGAGCGGCGGAGCUUGCAGAAAGCCUUGUGCUCUAUGUUCAUCAUUUUUAGGCAAGUGUUUACUUCCCAGGCCUGCAGUAUGAAACAGGAAGUCCCAUUAGUGUAAUUUCACAACAGAUCUAUCCUGCUGCGCUAACUCGUUGUUGAAAGGCUGGUAAAGAGCUCACUAACUUGUAGCAUGUCUCUAACUCUCAUUCUCUUACCAGCCGAGCGAGGUCGUUUCCCUCCUCCAGGGUUUCCUUCCACACCCUUCAAAUAAAACACAGAGCAUUUCAACUUUCCUGGCUUCUGAUUUUUCUGUUGUUUAUUUUACCCACAUCUCCUGGAGUGCUGCUGGUGGCAGGGAAUGGCAGUGAAGGUGAGUGCUGACGUGGUACUCACCACUCCCUAAGGGAUUUUUGCCCUGAGACACCAGCCAGUUGCUCAUGUGCUCCGUGGUGACAUGGGGAGGGACCUGGCCUUGACUCUGGAGCAGCAGAUAGUGGACCAUGAGCUUCUUCUGCAAGAUGAGGUAAGGUGUGAGACCGUGCCACGAAAUACCAUGUCAUUUACUUUCAGAAGGGCC